rnacentral:rRNA from 1 species
CUUAACGGUAAAAUUGCCUUAGAUACUGGGUGUCUUGAAUCCAGAAGAGGUCGGUGGAAUUCGUGGUGUAGCGGUGAAAUGCAUAGAUAUCACGAAGAACAUCAGUGGCGAAGGCGGCCGACUGGGCUGGUAUUGACGCUGAGGCACGAGAGCGUGGGGAGCGAACAGGAUUAGAUACCCUGGUAGUCCACGCUGUAAACGAUGUGUGCUAGUUGUUGGUUGCGGAGCGAUCCGUGAUCAGUGACGCAGUUAACGCAGUAAGCACACCACCUGGGGAGUACGUUCGCAAGAAUGAAACUCAAAGGAAUUGACGGGGGCCCGCACAAGCGGUGGAGCAUGUGGCUUAAUUCGAUGCAACGCGAAGAACCUUACCUGGGCUAAAUCCAUUGCGACCGUCCCGGAAACGGGAUUUCCCUUCGGGGCGC